rnacentral:snRNA from 17 species
AUACUUACCUUGUCUGGAGCCACCAAGAUCAUGAGUUUGGGGGCUUGCUCCGAGAGACCUGCAUUGCACAUCGCGGAGUUUUCUCGGGGUGCAUUAUUCUGCGGAAUCGUGCUGGGCGUAAUUUUUGAUUCUC